rnacentral:rRNA from 1 species
UCGCUUCACGAUGAGCCUGCGGCCUAUUAGCUAGUUGGUGAGGUAAAGGCCCACCAAGGCAACGAUAGGUAGCCGACCUGAGAGGGUGACCGGCCACAUUGGGACUGAGAUACGGCCCAGACUCCUACGGGAGGCAGCAGCUGAGAAUCUUCCACAAUGGACGAAAGUCUGAUGGAGCGACAUCGCGUGAGGGAUGAAGGCCUUCGGGUUGUAAACCUCGGAAAUUAUCGAAGAAUGAGUGACAGUAGAUAAUGUAAGCCUCGGCUAACUACGUGCCAGCAGCCGCGGUAAUACGUAGGAGGCAAACGUUGCUCGGAUUUACUGGGCGUAAAGGGUGAGUAGGCGGAUUUAUAAGUCUAAGGUGAAAGACCGAAGCUCAACUUCGGGAACGCCUCGGAUACUGUAGAUCUUGGAUAUUGUAGGGGAUGAUGGAAUUCUCGGUGUAGCGGUGGAAUGCGCAGAUAUCGAGAGGAACACCUAUAGCGAAGGCAGUCAUCUGGGCAUUUAUCGACGCUGAAUCACGAAAGCUAGGGGAGCAAACAGGCUUAGAUACCCUGGUAGUCCUAGCCGUAAACGUUGUACACUAGGUGCUUCUAUUUAAAUAGGAGUGCCGUAGCUAACGUCUUAAGUGUACCGCCUGAGGAGUAUGCCCGCAAGGGUGAAACUCAAAGAAAUUGACGGGUCCCCGCACAAGUGGUGGAGCAUGUGGUUUAAUUCGAUGAUACGCGAAAAACCUUACCUGGGUUUGAAUUGUUAGAUGAAUGAUUUAGAGAUAAGUCAGACCGCAAGGACGUUUAACAUAGGUGCUGCAUGGCUGUCGUCAGCUCGUGUCGUGAGAUGUUGGGUUAAGUCCCGCAACGAGCGCAACCCUCACCCU